rnacentral:rRNA from 1 species
CGCCUCCUGCAGCAUAAAGUAUAGGAGGUCCAGCCUGCCCAGUGACUACGGGUUCAACGGCCGCGGUAUAUUGACCGUGCAAAGGUAGCGCAAUCACUUGUCUUUUAAAUAGAGACCUGUAUGAAUGGCUAGACGAGGGCUUAACUGUCUCCCCCCUCCAGUCAGUGAAAUUGAUCUAUCCGUGCAGAAGCGGGUAUAAUACUACAAGACGAGAAGACCCUUUGGAGCUUAAGGUACAAAAUUCAGCCACGUUAAGCAACUCCUUAAGAAGCAAGAACUUAAUGGCCAUGAAGUUUUACCUUCGGUUGGGGCGACCACGGAGGAAAAGCAAGCCUCCGAGUGGACUGGGCCGACACCCCUAAAGCCAAAAGAGACAUCUUUAAGCCGCAGAAUAUCUGACCAAUAAGGAUCCGGCUAAAAAGCCGAUCAACGGACCAAGUUACCCUAGGGAUAACAGCGCAAUCCUCUCCCAGAGCCCAUAUCGACGAGGGGGUUUACGACCUCGAUGUUGGAUCAGGACAUCCUGGUGGUGCAGCCGCUAUUAAGGGUUCGUUUGUUCAACGAUUAAAGUCCU